GAUUUGCAGAAAACUGCAGUUGGCCCUGUUCAGAUUAGUGGGGCCGUGCAGCGCUCUGACCAUCUGCGGUGCAGGGAAGUACAGUUUCCAUGGAAAUCCUAGAGGUCAGAGACCCACCAAUCCCAAAGAGGAAAUAACAGAGAAGCCGCACAAGAUGGCAAAAGAAAUGGGAGUGUAAGCAGGAAAGUUUCAAUACGAACAGACGACGGCGGUAUACUGGGGAAAUCAUUGAAGCUGGCUGCGGACGGGCUAUCAAGUCUCAGGAAACUGCACAGUAGUGAAAAGUGGAGCAACUACGUACUACAUGUGGGAGACAAGCUAUGCUAAUCUAGAGUACUUUUUACGGAACCUCAUUAGAGAU